rnacentral:rRNA from 1 species
GAUGAACGCUGGCGGCGUGCCUAAUACAUGCAAGUCGAACGCGCAGCGAAAGGUGCUUGCACCUUUCAAGCGAGUGGCGAACGGGUGAGUAACACGUGGAUAACCUGCCUCAAGGCUGGGGAUAACAUUUGGAAACAGAUGCUAAUACCGAAUAAAACUUAGUAUCGCAUGAUACAAAGGUAAAAGGCGCUACGGCGUCACCUAGAGAUGGAUCCGCGGUGCAUUAGUUAGUUGGUGGGGUAAGGGCUUACCAAGACGAUGAUGAAUAGCCGGGUUGAGAGACUGAUCGGCCACAUUGGGACUGAGACACGGCCCAAACUCCUACGGGAGGCUGCAGUAGGGAAUCUUCCACAAUGGGCGCAAGCCUGAUGGAGCAACGCCGCGUGUGUGAUGAAGGCUUUCGGGUCGUAAAGCACUGUUGUAUGGGAAGAAAUGCUAGAAUAGGGAAUGAUUUUAGUUUGACGGUACCAUACCAGAAAGGGACGGCUAAAUACGUGCCAGCAGCCGCAGUAA